CUGUAAGAUUAGCAACAAGAUAUCAAUCAACAAUUUUAACAAAUCCUCAGUAUGUCCAGGCUACUACACUGAUGAACUGGGUGAAGCACAACGAACAAAUGUUGCAAUCUUACACUUUGAGAAGCUCAUCGUCAUCCUCCUCCUCGCUGAAUCUUGCACCCAUUAAAGAUCAAAUACUGUCUAUAUCCACCAUUCCUGAGUUACUAUCUAUGGUGUUACUUCCAAGUUGAUAUUACGGAUGCCAGUGAUACAAUUACAGUAACAAUCUCAGAAACGCUGGCAGAGAAAAUGUUGUCCCUAACUGCAGAACAAAUAUAUGAAACUGUCGUUGUCCAGCUAUCACCGCCUUCACUGAAGCCGUACCUGCAGAUCUGGGGGACACAGGUAAAAGGCAGAAAAUCGAACCAUCCACGCCCGCAAAAAAACAUUAAAGGUAACAACA